rnacentral:rRNA from 1 species
GAUGAACGCUGGCGGCGUGCUUAACACAUGCAAGUCGAGCGAAGCACUUAAGUUUGAUUCUUCGGAUGAAGACUUUUGUGACUGAGCGGCGGACGGGUGAGUAACGCGUGGGUAACCUGCCUCAUACAGGGGGGUAACAGUUAGAAAUGACUGCUAAUACCGCAUAAGACCACAGUACCGCAUGGUACAGUGGUAAAAACUCCGGUGGUAUGAGAUGGACCCGCGUCUGAUUAGGUAGUUGGUGGGGUAACGGCCUACCAAGCCGACGAUCAGUAGCCGACCUGAGAGGGUGACCGGCCACAUUGGGACUGAGACACGGCCCAGACUCCUACGGGAGGCAGCAGUGGGGAAUAUUGCACAAUGGAGGAAACUCUGAUGCAGCGACGCCGCGUGAAGGAUGAAGUAUUUCGGUAUGUAAACUUCUAUCAGCAGGGAAGAAAAUGACGGUACCUGACUAAGAAGCCCCGGCUAACUACGUGCCAGCAGCCGCCGUAA